rnacentral:sRNA from 1 species
GUUUAGCCCUGAUGGGAGCGGCAUCCUUGCUUGGCGGGGUUCGCCAAGUAAGAUACAGCGUACAGCAGGACAACUC